rnacentral:rRNA from 1 species
GGGCCCGCACAAGCGGCGGAGCAUGUGGAUUAAUUCGAUGCAACGCGAAGAACCUUACCUGGGUUUGACAUGCACAGGACGCCGGCAGAGAUGUCGGUUCCCUUGUGGCCUGUGUGCAGGUGGUGCAUGGCUGUCGUCAGCUCGUGUCGUGAGAUGUUGGGUUAAGUCCCGCAACGAGCGCAACCCUUGUCUCAUGUUGCCAGCGGGUUAUGCCGGGGACUCGUGAGAGACUGCCGGGGUCAACUCGGAGGAAGGUGGGGAUGACGUCAAGUCAUCAUGCCCCUUAUGUCCAGGGCUUCACACAUGCUACAAUGGCCGGUACAAAGGGCUGCGAUGCCGUGAGGUGGAGCGAAUCCUUUCAAAGCCGGUCUCAGUUCGGAUCGGGGUCUGCAACUCGACCCCGUGAAGUCGGAGUCGCUAGUAAUCGCAGAUCAGCAAUGCUGCGGUGAAUACGUUCCCGGGCCUU